rnacentral:rRNA from 1 species
GUGGGUAGUUUGACUGGGGCGGUCUCCUCCCAAAGAGUAACGGAGGAGCACGAAGGUUGGCUAAUCCUGGUCGGACAUCAGGAGGUUAGUGCAAUGGCAUAAGCCAGCUUGACUGCGAGCGUGACGGCGCGAGCAGGUGCGAAAGCAGGUCAUAGUGAUCCGGUGGUUCUGAAUGGAAGGGCCAUCGCUCAACGGAUAAAAGGUACUCCGGGGAUAACAGGCUGAUACCGCCCAAGAGUUCAUAUCGACGGCGGUGUUUGGCACCUCGAUGUCGGCUCAUCA